rnacentral:rRNA from 1 species
CAGUAGCCGCGGGAAUACGAAGGGGGCUAGCGUUGCUCGGAAUGACUGGGCGUAAAGGGCGCGUAGGCGGUUUUGACAGUCAGAUGUGAAAUUCCUGGGCUUAACCUGGGGGCUGCAUUUGAGACGUCAAGACUAGAGUGUGAGAGAGGGUUGUGGAAUUCCCAGUGUAGAGGUGAAAUUCGUAGAUAUUGGGAAGAACACCGGUGGCGAAGGCGGCAACCUGGCUCAUUACUGACGCUGAGGCGCGAAAGCGUGGGGAGCAAACAGGAUUAGAUACCCCCGUAGUCCCUGUCUCUUAUAA